GCUGCUGCCUCUCCCUCCAAAGGCAGCCCAGGGAUGAGUCAGAGCUAAAAGCAUCUCUCUCCCCGUGGGGCCGGGGCUCUGCCUGGCCCACCUGCCUUCCCCCGCCGAGGAGGGGGAUGAUGCAGCCCCCCGGGCGCUGCCUGUGAGUCAGGAGACCCUGCGGAGUCAGGAAUGUCCCCAGGGAGCGAGCCCCAGCAAGUCUGGCAGACACCGCCGCUGCCUGAUGACACCCAGGAUUUCAGGACAAGAAAGAAGAGUUGAGCCUGUAAAACUCAGAGCUGGGUGAGAAUUUAGAGCAAGGUCUUUCCCAUCUGUCUACCCAACCCAGGUCCUGACUUCUCCUAGUUGUUUUUCUUUCCUUAUGGAACUCCCUGUCCCAUCCCAAGGACCACCCAGGCUCCCUUCAGGCACUGGAAGGCCACAAUUAGGUCAUCUGAAAACCUUUUCUGUCGG